CGCUGGAAGGCUCCCUUGGUGUAAGUACCCCCUCCUCGGUAAGUGAUGGCUGGGAUCUCCUUGUUGAAGAGCGAACACUUGUGCUGGUGCGGCUUGGGCGCGGUGAUGUGAUCCACCCGCGUCACCACGUGGGUCUUGGACGAGAAGGUGACCAGGGCCACGCGUGUGUUCUCCGCCGCCACCGGGAAGUCGGAGAGCAUCUUGCGCACGAAGCGCAGCUCGCUGCGGAAGUUGUUAGCGCCCACGCUGGACGACUCGUCCACCAGGAAGACCAGGUCCAUGCAGGCGCUCUUGUCGCGGAGCUCGCGGACGUUGCGCUUGAACGCCAGGCCGAGGCGGGCCACCUUCUUCUCGGCGCUCUCCGUCAGGUUGCCCGAGGACGACAAGUGUCCGGAGCGGCGGGGGUUCGGCUGAGCGGCGGUCCAAACGUCCAGGGCGCACAGCGCCAGGAAGCAACAAGUCCAUGACAGUCUGCACAUGGCGAGGAGUGGCGCGAAUACAGUCAACUUCUUCUUCAGGAGUUAAGGUGGUGGGGAUGAUCACCUGGGGGAUCGAGGCACCAGAGACCGACACCAGAGAGUUCAUCGCCGUUUGUUCCACGUGCACCCGUUACAAAGCUUCCCACAGCCUUCUGAUGGGACUCUUCCGCCCCCUACCUAUUUAUGGCCGACCCUGGUCCCGCAAUUCCCCUGGAUUAUGUGACCGGAUUCCCAGCCUCCCAAGCUUCCCUUUUCAGCAGAGACUGCCAACUUACUCAUCCGACACAUGGUCAGACUCCACGGCAGCCCCAGGACAUCCUCUCUGACCGUGGCCCCCAGUUCACCUCCCAUGUGUGGCAGUCAUUCUGCAAGGGAAUUGGGGCCACGGUCAGCCUCACCUCUGGAUAUCACCCGGAGUAACUGACAAGCAGAGAGAGCCAACCAAGGGUUAGAGACCACGCAUCGCUGCGUCGCCACCUGCCAACCCUCUCACUGGAGCAAAUACAUACCCUGGGUGGAGUACGCUUUUAACUCCAUGACCAGCAGCGCCACAGGUAUGUCCCCCUUCGAGUGCUCUCUAGGCUACCAACCACCCAUGUUUUUACAGCAAGAGGUCGAGGCAGCUGUACCCUCCACCUAGGCCCACCUUAAACGCUGCCAGACCAUCUGGAAGACUGCUGGGGUUGCCUUAGUGAAGACGUCGGAUAGGAUGCACCGCUACGCCGACCGGCACCCUCCAAUUAACCAGCAGGUGAUGUUACGGGCCAAGGACCUCCCCCUCAAGGUACAGUCCUCUAAUUGGGACCUUUCCCCAUCAACGCAAUUGUCGACCCUGCUGCCGUUCAUCUCCCUCUCCCGUCUUCCAUGAAGAUCCACUACUGGGAGGAGAAGAUGUCCAUAUAAUUAUUUAACACUCGCAGUGUGAUUUAUCAGCACUCAUCACCGUUUAUCGAGCACUAUUUUGACUUUUAUUUAGAUUGGUGGACGAGCAAGAAUCCUCGUGCCGCCAGUUCAACACACCGCACACAGGUCUGCACCACUUUACAAUUGCACACAUGCCAUGUUAGUAUAAAACCCAAAACCAGUGAAGUUGGCACGUUGUGUAAUUCGUAAAUACAAACAGAAUACAAUUAUUUGCAAAUCAUUUUUAACUUACAUUCAAUUGAAUAUACUGCAAAGAAAAGAUAUUUAAUGUUCGAACAGAAAAGCGUAUUUUAUUUGCAAAUAAUCAUUACCUUAGAAUUUAAUGGCAGCAACACAGUGAAAAAAAGUUGGCACGGGCAUUUGUACCACUGUGUUACAUGGCCUUUCCUUUUAACAACACUCAGUAAACGUUUGAGAACCUGGAGACCAAUUUUUGAAACUUUUCAGGUGGACUUGUUUCCCAUUCUUGCUUGAUGUACAGCUUAAGUUCUUCAACAGUCCGGUGUCUCUGUUGUGGUAUUUUAUGCUUCAUAAUGCGCCGCACAUUUUCAAUGGGAGACAGGUCUGGACUACAGGCAGGCCAGUCUAGGACCCACACUCUUUUACUAUGAAGCCACUCUGUUGUAACACGUAGCAUGGCAUAGUCUUGCUGAAAUAAGCAGGGGCGUCCAUGAAAAAGACGUUGCUUGGUUGGCAACACAUUUUGCUCCAAAACCUGUAUGUACCUUUCUGCAUUAAUGGUGCCUUCACAGAUGUGUAAGUUACACAUGCCUUAGGUACUAAUACACACCCAUACCAUCACAAAUGCUGGCUUCUGAACUUUACGCCUAUGACAAUCCAGAUUGUUCUUUUCCUCUUUGUUGUUGUUCUUAAACUGUUGGACAAUUUGCUUGUGACCCUCGCCACAUCCUUAUUUAUGAAUGACUGAGCAUUCAUCACCUAUCCCCAAUCAUUGUACCCACCUGUUCCCAAUUAGCCUGUUCACCUGUGGGAUGUUCCAAAUAGGUGUUUGAUAAGCAUUCCUCAAAUUUCUCAGUCUUUUUUUGCCACUUGUGCCAGCUAUUUUGAAACAUGUUGCAGAUAUCAAAUUCCAAAUGAGCUAAUACUUGCAAAAAAUCACAACAUUUUCCAGUUCAAACGUUAAGUAUCUUGUCUUUGCAGUAUAUUCAACUGAAUAUAGGCUAAGAAGGAUUUGCAAAUAAUUGUAUUUUGUUUUUAUUUACUAUUUACACAACGUGCCAAAUUCACUGGCUUUGGUGUUUGUAGAUCACACACAAUACGCACACCAAUAGUAUUUUUUGCCUACACUCUUUAGCACGUGGUAUUUGGAUCGUAGUAAAUCCGGCUCUUCGGUGGGCGUGUACUCAAACACGUGCAAUCAUGAUAGCACGCGGGAAGCUGAUCUACUCAACGUGCGCAAAGAGGAUUGCGUUGGUUAAGUGAGCAGAGUAAGGCGUGCAAUCCAUUUUGCUUCGCUCUCUUCAUCAAUAUGCAAAAUAUAUGCUGAUCAUCAAAACACCCACAAUACUGGGAGGAGAAGAUGCAAAUAUAAUUAUUUUGCACACGCAAUGUGAUUUAUCAACAGUCAUCACAGUUUUGUGAGCACUAUAGCGUUUUAUUUAGCACGUGUCAGAAGGACAUGCAAACUGACAUUCCCACACACGGCUGCAAGAUCAGUACUCACACUGCACGGACAGACGAUGCACAAACAAGCGUCCUGUGUCAACAUUUUGACGGCUAGAAAUAAAAAUUAUUUGAUGUAUGGUUUAUUCAGCUGCAUCAUUUUAUAAUUGUAUAGUUGCUAGAAUAUUUAAGGACUUAAAACAAAUUAAAUUGUGCAUCAUGGUGUCAUUUAAUAUUUUUUUAAUGACGUUCUUUUUAUUCACAUCGAAUAUAUAUUAUUAAAACAUUUCUUGUCCGAAAAAUACUUCUUUAAGCAUGCAUUUUUUUGCAUCUUGAGCGGAAAAAGUGCAGCCUCUUUACAAUGAGUGCACUUUUGGCGAUGCACUAUGUGACUGCUUCUAAAAUGCCCAUAAAGAUGUAUUUAGCAUGUUUGAAAACAUAGCAAAAAGCUACAUGUAGGAGGAGCAAGGUUCCAUGAAUGUGCAGUAAAUGAGCAUCUCUGUGGGGAUGCCAUGUAUAGUACACGCA